rnacentral:sRNA from 1 species
GUCAAUAUAUUUUAACCCAUGAUGCAGGUAGGAAAACACAGCAAGAAGUAGUUUUGUUCCUUAAGUUUCUUGGUUUUCUUCUUCCUGCGCUUCACAGGUGGUCCUUGCUGCGAUGAGCUUGUUCUUGUCCCCCGUAACCCGUCAUCUGGUGGUGCUGCGAGCUGUAGAUCGUCGUACUUUCCCUAAUAAUAACCUUUCUUUAUCAUCAUUUUCUCAUUAUAUCUUUGUUUCUCAACAGCAUUGGUUGGCUUCUCGCGAUUUGUCGUCUAGCUGCUUGCAGCAGGAUUUCUGUCCCCCUUCAUUCACAUCCUUCGUUCUGCUAAUUAUACACAUGUCUUGCGUGAGAUCUCGCUGCCUGCUCGGUACCCACGUCCUGGUUUAAACUUGCAAAGAUCAGCGACCUUCAUUUCGACACUUUAUAGGUUUUAAGACAUCUUCAAUGACACCAUGAGUCUCUCACUCCCCGUGACGAGCUAAUGCUAGUGCCUACUCCCGUUUUCAUCCAUGAAAUCCAGCCAGCUCCACGAUCAGCUUGGCGUUCUCGAAUAUCCUUUUAACUCAAGCACUGCUGCAACAAGGAAACAGAAAGACACGCACGUAUGCAUAUUCGCUGGUAAAUAUAG